GUGAGGAAUAUUGCGCAAUGGUGGCAACUCUGACGCAGCCAUGCCGCGUGCAGGAAGAAGGCGCUACGCGUUGUAAACUGCUUUUAACCGGGAAGAAACCCCAGGACGUGUCCUGGGUUGACGGUACCGGAGGAAUAAGCACCGGCUAACUUCGUGCCAGCAGCCGCGGUAAUACGAAGGGUGCAAGCGUUAUCCGGAUUCAUUGGGUUUAAAGGGUGCGUAGGCGGAGCGUUAAGUCAGUGGUGAAAUCCUGCAGCUUAACUGUAGACUUGCCAUUGAUACUGGCGCUCUUGAGUGCGCUUGAAGUGGGCGGAAUGUGCCGUGUAGCGGUGAAAUGCUUAGAUAUGGCACAGAACACCAAUUGCGAAGGCAGCUCACUAAGGCGAUACUGACGCUGAGGCACGAAAGCGUGGGGAUCGAACAGGAUUAGAAACCCGGGUAGUCC
rnacentral:rRNA from 1 species